rnacentral:piRNA from 1 species
ACUCAGGACCUCUGAAAGAACAG